GAGAAAACAAGGAUGUCCCUGGACUAAGAGAGUGUAGGAGAGGAGACAGGCUUGGGUGGUGCUGGAAGCCACUGGACUGUCACCCACAGUCCAGCUGUGACCUCCCAAGGAAAGGUUUCACAACUACUUCAUGGCAUGUAACUGCAUCAGCACACAUAUGUAUGGGAAGGUCGGAAAUCAAGCUAGCAAUGUGAUUGAGAACCACAUUUACUGCGCUGCAUAGCCAGAUCUGGGGGACCCUCCCUGUGAAUUCCGUGCCCUUUCUGACAUACUGAAGCUGCCCGGCUUGUGUGUGUAUGCGUUCAUUAAAAGUCGCUUUCCUUAUCUUCUGGAAGAGGUCUGUGAGUAAAGGAAGCUAAGAGGUUACCAGUGUUUCUGGUUCCGUGGAGCCUCCGUCGAAACAGUCUGUUGCAGAUCAGCCCCACUCCUCAGAUGUGAAGCUCUUCCUGUCUCGUGGGUCAAAGACGUCUGGUCAUACGGUGGAAACGGCAGAAAGCUCUUUCGAAAGAGAUCUACCACAUGUCCAUGCAACGAUUACUUCUGAAAGUCAAGGGACUGUCUACCCUGCUUCCAUUGGAAUUAAG
rnacentral:lncRNA from 1 species